rnacentral:rRNA from 1 species
GGGGAGGCCCUAGCACAGGUGCUGCAUGGCCGUCGUCAGCUCGUGCCGUGAGGUGUUGGGUUAAGUCCCGCAACGAGCGCAACCCCCGCCGUUAGUUGCCAGCGGUUCGGCCGGGCACUCUAACGGGACUGCCCGCGAAAGCGGGAGGAAGGAGGGGACGACGUCUGGUCAGCAUGGCCCUUACGGCCUGGGCGACACACGUGCUACAAUGCCCACUACAAAGCGAUGCCACCCGGCAACGGGGAGCUAAUCGCAAAAAGGUGGGCCCAGUUCGGAUUGGGGUCUGCAACCCGACCCCAUGAAGCCGGAACCGCUAGUAAUCGCGGAUCAGCCAUGCCGCGGUGAAUACGUUCCCGGGCCUU